GACGAACGCUGGCGGCGUGCCUAAUACAUGCAAGUCGAACGAACCGCGACUAGGUGCUUGCACUUGGUCAAGGUGAGUGGCGAACGGGUGAGUAACACGUGGGUAACCUACCUCAUAGUGGGGGAUAACAGUCGGAAACGACUGCUAAUACCGCAUAGGACAUGGGAUCACAUGAUUCUGUGAUGAAAGGUGGCGCAAGCUAUCGCUAAGAGAUGGACCCGCGGUGCAUUAGCUAGUUGGUAGGGUAACGGCCUACCAAGGCGAUGAUGCAUAGCCGACCUGAGAGGGUGAUCGGCCACAUUGGGACUGAGACACGGCCCAAACUCCUACGGGAGGCAGCAGUAGGGAAUCUUCCGCAAUGGGCGCAAGUCUGACGGAGCAACGCCGCGUGAGUGAAGAAGGUCUUCGGAUCGUAAAGCUCUGUUGUUAGAGAAGAACAGCGCAUGGAGUAACUGUUGUGCGUGUGACGGUAUCUAACCAGAAAGCAACGGCUAACUACGUG
rnacentral:rRNA from 1 species